rfam:Salmonella enterica subsp. enterica serovar Paratyphi A str. AKT_12601 complete genome, strain AKT_12601
AGAACGUGAUGGGAAGCGGCGCGCUUCCCGUGUAUGAUUGAACCCGCAUGGCUCCCGGUUCGUUCGGGGAAGCGCUGAGGGUUCAUUUUUAU